rnacentral:rRNA from 1 species
CAGCAGCCGCGGGAACACGAAGGGGGCUAGCGUUGUUCGGAUUUACUGGGCGUAAAGCGCACGUAGGCGGAUCGAUCAGUCAGGGGUGAAAUCCUGGAGCUCAACUCCAGAACUGCCUUUGAUACUGUCGAUCUCGAGUCCGGAAGAGGUGAGUGGAACUCCUAGUGUAGAGGUGGAAUUCGUAGAUAUUAGGAAGAACACCAGUGGCGAAGGCGGCUCACUGGUCCGGUACUGACGCUGAGGUGCGAAAGCGUGGGGAGCAAACAGGAUUAGAUACCCCAGUAGUCCCUGUCUCUUAUAC